UUAAAUUGCUGUGGUAUUUUGACUAUACAAAGGUAUUGAAAUAAGACUUUAAUUGAGUGCUAAGAGAAUGGAAUUACAAAAAAUUUCUUUCUUAAAUUUAAAUAUUGAAGUUAUUUUUAUUUGUGAAGAAACAAUAAUAAUAAUUAAGGACAAGAAGACCCUAAGAAUUUUCAAAAAUGGUAAUCAAUUUUUGAAUUACUAUUUUUUUAAUUGGGGCGAUUAAUAAAUAUUAAAAACUUUAUUUUUAUUUAAAAUGAACCAAUAUUAGUGGCAAAAUGAAAAAAAUACUCUAGGGAUAACAGCGUAAUAAUUUUUGAUAGUUCUUAUAGACAAAAUAGUUUGCGACCUCGAUGUUGGAUUAGGAUACUUUUUUAAUGAAGAAGUUAAAAAAAGGAGUUUGUUCAAC
rnacentral:rRNA from 1 species